AAUGUGUAUCUUUUGGGAUAAACUCAGGAGUCAGGCAAGGAGAUGGUCUUUCUCCAAUCUUAUUUAAUAUUGCCAUAGAAGAAGCACUUCAGAGUGUAGCAGAGAGGGAUUUAGGGGUGGAAGUGGGAGCUAAACUAAACAUCCUAGCUUUUGCAGAUGAUGUUGUCAUAUUUGCAGA